rnacentral:misc_RNA from 1 species
UUAAUAAAAAAUCGGUUUGGUCGCAAAUUGUGACGUUUCCGGAGUUUGGGCUAUCUUAACUUUUUGGUUAAGAGGCUUAAAAUUGACCUUUUUUGCGCAUUUUAGACGUACAUAAAUUUUUUUUUUAUUCGUCUAUUCUUAAUGCCAAAAUCUUAUUAGAUGCGAUCACAUCGUGUGGUUUCGUGUCCAUAAAAUUUUCAUG